rnacentral:rRNA from 1 species
AUGAGUAUCUUAUGCUGGAACUGUCGAGGCUUGGGGUCGGACUCGACAGUUGGCGAGCUUCGCUGGCUUGUGAAGCUUUACCGACCCACCCUCCUCUUCCUUUCAGAGACGAAGAUGAGGGAUUCCCGUGCUAAAAAAUUUCUAUGGUCAUUGGGUUUUUCUGGUGGCCAUGCUAUGAGUAGUAAUGGCCUAAGUGGUGGCCUAGUUCUGUUCUGG